UACGGAGGGGGCUAGCGUUGUUCGGAAUUACUGGGCGUAAAGCGCACGUAGGCGGCUUUGUAAGUUAGAGGUGAAAGCCCGGAGCUCAACUCCGGAAUUGCCUUUAAGACUGCAUCGCUUGAAUCAUGGAGAGGUGAGUGGAAUUCCGAGUGUAGAGGUGAAAUUCGUAGAUAUUGGGAAGAACACCGGUGGCGAAGGCGGCUCUCUGGACCGAUACUGACGCUGAGGCGCGAAAGCGUGGGGAGCAAACAGG
rnacentral:rRNA from 1 species